rnacentral:misc_RNA from 1 species
GAUGAAGAACGCAGCGAAAUGCGAUAAGUAAUGCGAAUUGCAGAAUUCCAGUGAGUCAUCGAAUCUUUGAACGCACAUUGCGCCCUUUGGUAUUCCGAAGGGCAUGCCUGUUCGAGCGUCAUUAUCACCCCUCAAGCCCUCGGCUUGGUGUUGGACGGUUUGGUGGAGGCCCCCUCGGGGGUUCCUGCCCCUCCCAAAGACAAUGACGGCGGCCUCGUUGGACCCCCGGUACACUGAGUUCUUCACGGGACACGUAUCGGACACAUGGGUUUACGGGACACGGUCUGCCUCCCCUCAGGGAGAAUCUUUCUAAGGUUGACCUCGGAUCAGGUAGGGAUACCCGCUGAACUUAAGCAUAUCAAUAGCGGAGGA